rnacentral:rRNA from 1 species
GGCGUGCUUAACACAUGCAAGUCGAACGGAAAGGCCCUGCUUUUGUGGGGUGCUCGAGUGGCGAACGGGUGAGUAACACGUGAGUAACCUGCCCUUGACUUUGGGAUAACUUCAGGAAACUGGGGCUAAUACCGGAUAGGAGCUCCUGCUGCAUGGUGGGGGUUGGAAAGUUUCGGCGGUUGGGGAUGGACUCGCGGCUUAUCAGCUUGUUGGUGGGGUAGUGGCUUACCAAGGCUUUGACGGGUAGCCGGCCUGAGAGGGUGACCGGCCACAUUGGGACUGAGAUACGGCCCAGACUCCUACGGGAGGCAGCAGUGGGGAAUAUUGCACAAUGGGCGGAAGCCUGAUGCAGCAACGCCGCGUGCGGGAUGACGGCCUUCGGGUUGUAAACCGCUUUCGCCUGUGACGAAGCGUGAGUGACGGUAAUGGGUAAAGAAGCACCGGCUAACUACGUGCCAGCAGCCGCGGUGAUACGUAGGGUGCGAGCGUUGUCCGGAUUUAUUGGGCGUAAAGGGCUCGUAGGUGGUUGAUCGCGUCGGAAGUGUAAUCUUGGGGCUUAACCCUGAGCGUGCUUUCGAUACGGGUUGACUUGAGGAAGGUAGGGGAGAAUGGAAUUCCUGGUGGAGCGGUGGAAUGCGCAGAUAUCAGGAGGAACACCAGUGGCGAAGGCGGUUCUCUGGGCCUUUCCUGACGCUGAGGAGCGAAAGCGUGGGGAGCGAACAGGCUUAGAUACCCUGGUAGUCCACGCUGUAAACGGUGGGUACUAGGUGUGGGGUCCAUUCCACGGGUUCCGUGCCGUAGCUAACGCUUUAAGUACCCCGCCUGGGGAGUACGGCCGCAAGGCUAAAACUCAAAGGAAUUGACGGGGCCCCGCACAAGCGGCGGAGCAUGCGGAUUAAUUCGAUGCAACGCGUAGAACCUUACCUGGGUUUGACAUGGAUCGGGAGUGCUCAGAGAUGGGUGUGCCUCUUUUGGGGUCGGUUCACAGGUGGUGCAUGGCUGUCGUCAGCUCGUGUCGUGAGAUGUUGGGUUAAGUCCCGCAACGAGCGCAACCCUUGUUCACUGUUGCCAGCACGUUAUGGUGGGGACUCAGUGGAGACCGCCGGGGUCAACUCGGAGGAAGGUGGGGAUGACGUCAAGUCAUCAUGCCCCUUAUGUCCAGGGCUUCACGCAUGCUACAAUGGCUGGUACAGAGAGUGGCGAGCCUGUGAGGGUGAGCGAAUCUCGGAAAGCCGGUCUCAGUUCGGAUUGGGGUCUGCAACUCGACCUCAUGAAGUCGGAGUCGCUAGUAAUCGCAGAUCAGCAACGCUGCGGUGAAUACGUUCCCGGGGCUUGUACACACCGCCCGUCAAGUCAUGAAAGUUGGUAACACCCGAAGCCGGUGGCCUAACCAUUGUGGGGGAGCCGUCGAAGGUGGGACUGGUGAU